CUCACCAAUUCACUACUUCCACCACCUACGUUAACAUCACUACCCACUCACACUUUCCACCCACACUACACACGAUACCUUGCCCCCCAUUUCCUUCCACUCACCAUUUCUCCUACAUACCAAGGAACAAGUGCAGAGGUAAGAACUGCAAUCAUAAUUUCAUAAUUUAAUUCUUACAACCUUCAGCAACUCCCAAGCUCUCUCUCUCUAAAAAAAAAACGCCACUGCCCAUGUAAGUUUGGAACUUUGAAAUUCUUUCAUUUUUUCCUUGUCUCUCUUGCAAAUUUUGAAUAAAGCAACAUCUGAAAUUCUUGUACAACUCCAUUCACAGAACUCCAUUCACAGAAGCUUAGUAAACAACAACAAAUACAACAACAAACACCAGCCGAAACCUCAUCAAAAGGCUUUGAGCAUCAGGAGGAUUAGCACUGCUAUUCCGAUUCAGAGAUAACGUUAAACGACAGGCUUUGCCUAGACAGGUUAAUGGCUGGUGAUGACGGGGCAGAGCUGAGGCUAGAGUUCAACUCCUUAUUUUAAUUUCCGCUGCAGAACUAGCCAGUAUCUGUCUUUUGUUCCUUAACUUAAGACCUAUUAUGUUGUGAUUCUAAAAACAAUAUCUUUUGUUGAACCUAGACUAUUAACUCUCAAAUAUUUUGAUCAGUGAUUGUUGGUUAUCUGAAGCAUGUCACUAAACUUGUGAUCCUGAAGUUGUUAUAUUUGUUGAUUGAUUUGUAUCA